GCCCAGGUGUGGUGGUGCACGCCUGUAAUCCCAGUGGCUCAGGAGGCUGAGGCAGGAGGAUCAUGAGUUCCAAGGCAGCCUCAGCAAAAGCAAGGUGCUAAACAACUUAGUGAGACCCUGUCUCUA
rnacentral:sRNA from 1 species